rnacentral:rRNA from 1 species
GAUGAACGCUAGCGAUAGGCUUAACACAUGCAAGUCGAGGGGCAGCACAAGGUAGCUUGCUAUCUGGGUGGCGACCGGCGCACGGGUGCGUAACGCGUAUGCAACUUGCCCUAUACAGGAGGAUAACCCGUCGAAAGACGGACUAAUACUGCGUAUGCUCACAACUUGGCAUCAAGUGGUGAGGAAAGAAAUUCGGUAUAGGAUAGGCAUGCGUCCCAUUAGCUUGUUGGUGAGGUAACGGCUCACCAAGGCAACGAUGGGUAGGGGAACUGAGAGGUUUAUACCCCACACUGGUACUGAGAAACGGACCAGAAUCCUACGGGAGGCAGCAGUGAGGAAUAUUGGUCAAUGGGCGCGAGCCUGAACCAGCCAAGUCGCGUGAAGGAUGACUGUCUUAUGGAUUGUAAACUUCUUUUAUACGGGAAUAACAAGAGUCACGUGUGACUCCCUGCAUGUACCGUAUGAAUAAGCAUCGGCUAACUCCGUG